CAAGACCUUGUCUCUAUUAAAUUAAAGAUUAAAAUAGAGUUUACAAAUUAAAAAAUGUCAACACAAAGUAAACUUUAUACUUUGUGAGCUGAGCAGGUGGCCAGCUUGCCGCCCAGCUGCUCAGCCUGGCACCAAUGGCUUGUCCUGCACCAGUGCUUGGCAUGGGGUCAGGAGGACAGUUUGGGAAGAGUCUCCAGCAGACCGGCGUGCCUGGUCUCACAGAUGACUUCCCAACCCCGUGCCAAUGGGAAACCAACAGAGGCAAGUGGCCAGGGUGGAGAGCCUGGGAGGCAGAGCAGGUGGCCCUGGCACAGCAGGUCUGGCUGAGUCUCACCUGCCUGGAGCAGGUAGAAAUGUUGGGGAAAGUGUGGCUGCCUGGGAGUCAAGGUCGCUUUGAAGGAUCCACUGAGUCAGUGUACAGAUGAGGAAACUGAGCUCAAGAGCAGGAAGGGAAAUGCCCAGAAGCCAGUGAGGAAAACAGGCAGAGUGCGAUCUGGAUUCAGCAACAGGAAAUGUGAUUUCCCCACCUAUUUGGGAGGCUGAGGCAGGAGGACUGCUUGAGCCCAGGAGUUUGAGGCCAGCCUGGGCAACGUAGAAAGACCUUCCCCACUCCCUCGCAAAAAACAAAAACAAAAAAAAAGAAUAUGAUUCCGAACACCACAGCAAGUGCAUCUCUCUGAAGUCCCCUGCUGACAGUGAAGCCCUGCUUCUCUUCACUGGCUGAUGUGCAGACAUUUAUUAGUAAAUCUUCACGGCGGUCUAGGGAGGGGUGGUCUUUGGCCGGAGGAAGAAAUGGCUUUGUUGCUCAGGAGAGCUUUGGGAAUGGAACUCAGGGGCUUCCAAAGAGCAGCAAUCAGGAAAACAAGCAGGGAGGAUCCAGGUUUUGCAAGGCCUGAAGCCUGCACACUAGGGAGCCCCAUGCUCUGUGAAGGAGAGAACAGUGAUAAGAAGAAGAUAAUGAUUCAGCAGCUUUGCAAACAUUGUUUGGUGAAUAAACAGCCCCGUUCAGUGCACCGGUUUCUUCCUCCCAUCAUGGGACAGGUGGAAUGUGAUCUGAGAUGCCAGCCUUGGUCAGCUGGAGGGUUGUUCAGCUGCCUCGUGACUCCUCCUCGGUAAGAGUGAAAGAG
rnacentral:lncRNA from 1 species